CACGUGAUGGUGCUCUGGGGCAGGCUCCGAGGCGCUUCCCUUUCUGGGCGAGAGCGGACCGGGCCAGAGAGACUGUCCCUGCUCGCCGUGCCCUAGGGUGGUCAACUCUCCCUGGCUGAGGCUGGCUUAGGUGCGAACCCGGCGCCUCGGGCUCCGUGCCUGCUGACCAGUUCAAGCGAGGCGGUCUGGGCGGUCAAUACCGGGCCCAGUCCAGCCCGUGGAGCUACCCACCUUAGAGGCCCGAGCGCGCCACCCGCCUCCCAGACCUCGGCUCCGCAACUCUUGAGCAUACGUUUUGCCUUCCUUUUCAACCAUGACCCCAGGAACCCUCUCCCUCUGCUCACCUUGUUGGUGAAAAGAAAAGCAGAAUAGCUAGUCAGCAAAA